rnacentral:rRNA from 1 species
GACAGAGGGGGCAAGCGUUGCUCGGAAUCACUGGGCGUAAAGGGCGCGUAGGCGGGCUGGCAAGUCAGUCGUGAAAUCUCUCGGCUCAACCGAGAAACGUCGGCUGAUACUGCCGUUCUUGAGGGAUGCAGAGGAGACUGGAAUUCCCGGUGUAGCGGUGAAAUGUGUAGAGAUCGGGAGGAACACCGGUGGCGAAGGCGGGUCUCUGGAACGCAACUGACGCUGAGACGCGAAAGCGUGGGGAGCAAACAGG